UUUGUAUUUCAACAUAUUGUAAUUGAAAAAAAAAUCAAAAAAGAAGAAGAAGAGGAAAUUCAAAAAAAAAAUCGAAAAAAAAAUUUGAUUGAAAAAAACAAAAAAAAUUCAAAGUAUAAAAAAAAAGAGUGAAAAGUCUUGUGAGUUUUAUUUUGUUAUUAUUUCUUCUUGCUUCCGAGCAUCCAUUCAUUCUACCAUUCCCUCUACCCCCCAAAAUGCCAC
rnacentral:lncRNA from 1 species